UACGUAGGGGGCAAGCGUUGUCCGGAUUUACUGGGCGUAAAGAGCGUGUAGGCGGCCAAACAGGUCCGUUGUGAAAACUGGAGGCUCAACUUCCAGACGUCGACGGAAACCGUGUGGCUAGAGUCCGGAAGAGGAGAGUGGAAUUCCUGGUGUAGCGGUGAAAUGCGUAGAUAUUGGGAGGAACACCAGUGGCGAAGGCGGCUCACUGGACCGGUACUGACGCUGAUGCGCGAAAGCGUGGGGAGCAAACGGG
rnacentral:rRNA from 1 species